rnacentral:rRNA from 1 species
AUUGAACGCUGGCGGCAGGCUUAACACAUGCAAGUCGAGCGGAGAUGAGGUGCUUGCACCUUAUCUUAGCGGCGGACGGGUGAGUAAUGCUUCGGAAUCUGCCUAUUAGUGGGGGACAACAUUCCGAAAGGAAUGCUAAUACCGCAUACGUCCUACGGGAGAAAGCAGGGGAUCUUCGGACCUUGCGCUAUGAGAUGAGCCUAAGUCGGAUUAGCUAGUUGGUGGGGUAAAGGCCUACCAAGGCGACGAUCUGUAGCGGGUCUGAGAGGAUGAUCCGCCGCACGUGGAAUUAGACACAGCCCAGACUCCUACGGGAGGCAGCAGUGGGGAAUGUUGGACAGUGGGAGGGACCCUUAUCCUAACAUGCCGCGUGUGUAAAGGAGGCCUUAUGGUUGUCAAGUACUUUAAGCGAUGAGGAGGCUAUUGAGACUAAUACUCUUGGAUAGUGGACGUUACUCGCAGAACAAGCACCGGCUAACUCUGUGCCAGCAGCCGCGGUAAUAC